rnacentral:rRNA from 1 species
UACGAGGGGGGCAAGCGUUGUCCGGAAUUAUUGGGCGUAAAGAGCUCGUAGGCGGUUCGUCGCGUCGGCUGUGAAAUCCCGGAGCUCAACUCCGGGUCUGCAGUCGAUACGGGCGGACUCGAGUUCGGCAGGGGAGACUGGAAUUCCUGGUGUAGCGGUGAAAUGCGCAGAUAUCAGGAGGAACACCGGUGGCGAAGGCGGGUCUCUGGGCCGAUACUGACGCUGAGGAGCGAAAGCGUGGGGAGCGAACAGG